rnacentral:rRNA from 3 species
UAGGGAAUUUUCGGCAAUGGGGGAAACCCUGACCGAGCAACGCCGCGUGAGUGAUGACGGCCUUCGGGUUGUAAAGCUCUGUUGUAAGGGAAGAACGGUAGAUAGAGAAUAUCUAAGUGACGGUACCUUACCAGAAAGCCACGGCUAACUACGUGCCAGCAGCCGCGGUAAUACGUAGGUGGCGAGCGUUAUCCGGAAUUAUUGGGCGUAAAGGGUGCGUAGGCGGCCUGUUAAGUAAGUGGUUAAAUUGUUGGGCUCAACCCAAUCCAGCCACUUAAACUGGCAGGCUAGAGUAUUGGAGAGGCAAGUGGAAUUCCAUGUGUAGCGGUAAAAUGCGUAGAUAUAUGGAGGAACACCAGUGGCGAAGGCGGCUUGCUAGCCAAAGACUGACGCUCAUGCACGAAAGCGUGGGGAGCAAAUAGG